rnacentral:misc_RNA from 1 species
GAUGAAGAACGUAGCGAAAUGCGAUAAGGAAUGUGAAUUGCAGAAUUCAGUGAAUCAUCGAAUCUUUGAACGCAUCUUGCGCUCCUUGGUAUUCUGAGGAGCAUGCCUGUUUGAGUGUCAUUAAAUUCUCAACUACACUGACUUUGAAUUGGUGUGGCUUGGAUUUGGGGGGAAAAUUGUUGUGGGCUUUUUGUAUAGUCUGCUCCCCUGAAAUUGAUUAGCGGUACCUUUGUGGAACUGUCUACAGGUGUGAUAAUUAUCUACAUCUUAGACAUCUGCUGGAAUGCUGCUUUCUAAACCUUACUUGUAUUGACAAUCUUGACCUCAAAUCAGGUAGGACUACCCGCUGAACUUAAGCAUAUCAAUAAGCGGAGGA